GACGAACGCUGGCGGCGUGCUUAACACAUGCAAGUCGAACGGUGAUGGAGAGAGCUUGCUCUUUCCGGAUCAGUGGCGAACGGGUGAGUAACACGUGAGCAAUCUGCCCCUGACUCUGGGAUAAGCGCUGGAAACGGCGUCUAAUACCGGAUACGAGACGCGACCGCAUGGUCAGUGUCUGGAAAGAAUUUCGGUUGGGGAUGAGCUCGCGGCCUAUCAGCUUGUUGGUGAGGUAAUGGCUCACCAAGGCGACGACGGGUAGCCGGCCUGAGUGGGUGACCGGCCACACUGGGACUGAGACACGGCCCAGACUCCUACGGGAGGCAGCAGUGGGGAAUAUUGCACAAUGGGCGCAAGCCUGAUGCAGCAACGCCGCGUGAGGGACGACGGCCUUCGGGUUGUAAACCUCUUUUAGCAGGGAAGAAGCGAAAGUGACGGUACCUGCAGAAAAAGCACCGGCUAACUACGUGCCAGCCGC
rnacentral:rRNA from 1 species